CAUCACUACUGGUACUUGUUGAUAGCAGAGGAAGAACAUAAUGACGUUUAUGUUAUUAGUUUGUUAGCGAAUAUCUUAAGUCUCUGAUCUUAAUUUGAGAACCUAGAGUAGAUUACAUAACAGCUCAUUCUACAUCUGAACCAAAUAACAAAGUAACUGAUCUUGCAAAGCAGAAGAGAGAGGAUCAUUUUCAGCUGAAAGAAUUAAGAAGGAACUCUGUAUGAAUGAGCAUCCAUCCUUGACCUUGAAGGACAAAGAGAAAUCAGAAGGCAGCAUAGAAUGGGGGGAAUGAGCUCCUGAGAUCCACAGGUUAGGCGUAAACCAUCAGAAGAAAUUGACAUCCAACAGUACACAUUAUGACAAAUGCCAAGAAGGAAACUGACU